rnacentral:rRNA from 1 species
GUCUACGGCCAUACCACCCUGAACGCGCCCGAUCUCGUCUGAUCUCAGAAGCUAAGCAGGGUCGGGCCUGGUUAGUACUUGGAUGGGAGAAUAAGAAGUUAUUGGAUUGUGGAAAUACUGAGUGGCCAUAUUAU